AGUGAACGCUGGCGGCGUGCCUAACACAUGCAAGUCGAACGGGAUUUUCAGUUGUAGCAAUACAAUUGAAAGUCUAGUGGCAAACGGGUGAGUAACACGUGGGUAUCUGCCUUUAGGAGGAAAAUAACCCCGAGAAAUCGGGGCUAAUGUUCCAUAAGACCACGACUUUUCCUAAGAAGGGUUGGGGUCAAAGUCUCGCAAGGGACACCUAGAGAUGAGCCCGCGGCCUAUCAGCUAGUUGGUGAGGUAAUGGCUCACCAAGGCUAAGACGGGUAUCCGGCCUGAAAGGGCGAUCGGACACACUGGAACUGAGACACGGUCCAGACUCCUACGGGAGGCAGCAGUGGGGAAUUUUGGACAAUGGGGGCGAACCCUGAUCCAGCAACGCCGCGUGAAGGAUGAAGGUCUUCGGAUUGUAAACUUCUUUUAUAGGUGAAGAAAGGCUCCGUGAAGAACGGAAAGUGACGGUAAUCUAUGAAUAAGCCACGGCUAACUUCGUGCCAGCAGCCGCGGUAAUACGAA
rnacentral:rRNA from 1 species